CUUUGUAAAAGUGGUGCUUCAUACGGUUCCUUAUGAGUAUGGCGGUGCCACCGUGUGCUUUUCCGUCGGGAUGAUUUGUACCGUAGAAAUGGUAGUCUCUUAUUUGAAAAUUGUAUUUGCUUGUGAGAUGAGUUUCCGAAAGAAGCAUUACGUCGAUAUGCUUCUCUUGUAGGAAUUGAGCUAGCUCAAGUUUGCGCUGUGAAACGCCAUUGGCGUUCCACGUAGCUAUGCGUAAGGUAGCCAUUAUUUAUUUGAUUGUUGGGCUACAAGCAUUUGUAUCAAAAGGUUUUGAUUACGCAUCAUGUCUUGAAUGGUGGUCUUCAUAAAUGUCAUAAAUUCCAUCAUGCUCUGUUGUAAGGCUUGCAUCAUAGCUUCAGUUUUUGUUUCCUGCUGCGCAGCUGGGUGAUAGUUUUGUUGUGUGUCUAAUUUUGUGUGCACUUCAUGUGGAGUUCGGGAGUUUUGGGUUGGAGGCGUCAUACCUGAUUUUAAAACGUUAGCAAAUGUUGUCUUGUUAGUGUUGAAUGUAGGCCAGGGAGCGAAACUAGCUGCUUUCGAGAAAAUUACUUCAGGAUUUGUCUCUGAUGGUAUCAGGGUAGCUGAUCCUUGGUGUGCCCGCGCCGUGUUCAUUCUUUUGUGAAGACGGUUUUUCAGCUCUUUGUAGAUUGGACAGCCUCUGUAGUUUGCUGUGUGAUUGCCCCCACAGUUAUUGCAUUUUUUCUCGCAUGCAUUUUCUUUGUUAAUUUGACACUGUUUGGAGUCGUGGAGAUCUCCACAGACUACGCACACCGGGCGAAGUGUACAAUAUGACCUCGUGUGGCCAUACUCUUGGCAGUUUGUACAUUGUACAGGAGCGUUGCGUUUGUGCGGCUCUUCUACCGUGAUCCUACGGUGCAAAAGGAGCUGGAGUUUGUAAAUUGGGUGAACCUCGUUUUUUCUAGGAGGCUUGUUUUCUGGUUCAAGCUCAAUCUUGAAGAGUGGUUGGGGCUGCCUGUUUCUGUUUUUGAUAUUGAACACGUUUUUGGCGUAAAAUCCCUUUUCCUUUAGCGCCUCAGUUAUCUCUUCGGGCGUAACAUCAGACUCAAUGCCCUUCAGGACUACUUGCAGGCCCUUGCUGCUUUUAAGCUGGUAGGUGUAGAAGCCUAUUUUUUGUGCGGUAAAAUAGUUUGUGACUUUUCUGUAGUCGUCCUCCGUUUUCGUCUGAAGUUUGAUUUCGUUGAUAGUACCUCUUACGAGGGGAAUUAUAUGAAAGCUAUCUUUCCCAAUAAGGCCAAUCAAAGUAUUUACAAGACGGCUUGUGCUCUUCUCGCGGAUGUAUAUUGGCGGAGGCUUUGUUUUCUUCGGUUCGAUAUCAACGGAUCCCAGCGGCACGUCCUCAGCGGUAUCUACCAGCAAGGCAAAUCUGUUGGUAUUUGCAGGGGCUACAUUUUUGAUCAAGGUAGAGCCUUCAUGCUCGACGUUUGAGUUACGGUGCUAGUUGCGCAAAACUCGGGUGCUGUGACCCAGAGAUCAGUAGAGAUUUUAGGUAGAUCUCGCUCCUCAGCAAGGGGGAGUGCUUGCCCGGCAAGCAAGUACUCGAAUUGCUACCGGGGUGGUCGCUAUGUACAUAGCUAUAGCUUCUAGUCCGGGACGCUUGUCUGGCGUAUCCAGACACAUGCACCAUAUGCUCACUUGUGGGCGUAUAGGGUGCCGUGGUUGUAAUCCCUUCAGUGUGGAACACGCCACGUAAAAUAAGUUCGGAGGGAUCCGAAAAGCAUACAUUGUCCCUAUCUACUAUCUAGCGAAACCACAGCCAAGGGAACGGGCUUGGAAUAAUUAGCGGGGAAAGAAGACCCUUUUGAGCUUGACUCUAAUCUGGCAGUGUAAGGAGACAUAAGAGGUGUAGAAUAAGUGGGAGAUAUUAGACCUCGGUUUGGUAUCGUCAAUGAAAUACCACUACUCUUAUUGUUUCCUUACUUACUUGAUUAAAUGGAACGUGUAUCAUUUCCUAGCCAUUAUACGGAUAUAUUUAUUAUAUCUUAUGGUAUUGGGUUUUGAUGCAAGCUUCUUGAUCAAAGUAUCACGAGUUUGUUAUAUAAUCGCAAACAAAUUCUUUAAUAAAACGAUGCAUUUAUGUAUUUUUGAUUUGAAAAUUUGGUAUAACUCCAAUUACUCAGGUAUGAUCCAAUUCAAGGACAUUGCCAGGUAGGGAGUUUGACUGGGGCGGUACAUCUCUCAAAUAAUAACGGAGGUGUCCCAAGGCCAGCUCAGUGCGGACAGAAACCACACAUAGAGCAAAAGGGCAAAUGCUGACUUGAUCUCGGUGUUCAGUACACACAGGGACAGCAAAAGCUCGGCCUAUCGAUCCUUUUGGUUUAAAGAGUUUUUAACAAGAGGUGUCAGAAAAGUUACCAUAGGGAUAACUGGCUUGUGGCGGCCAAGCGUUCAUAGCGACGUCGCUUUUUGAUCCUUCGAUGUCGGCUCUUCCUAUCAUUGUGAAGCAAAAUUCACCAAGCGUUGGAUUGUUCACCCAUGCAAGGGAACGUGAGCUGGGUUUAGACCGUCGUGAGACAGGUUAGUUUUACCCUACUAAUGACAAAACGUUGUUGCGACAGCAUUCCUGCGUAGUACGAGAGGAACCGCAGGUACGGACCAAUGGCACAAUACUUGUUCGAGCGAACAGUGGUAUGACGCUACGUCCGUUGGAUUAUGCCUGAACGCCUCUAAGGUCGUAUCCGUGCUGGACUGCAAUGAUAAAUAAGGGGCAAUUUGCAUUGUAUGGCUUCUAAACCAUUUAAAGUUUAUAAUUUACUUUAUAAACGACAAUGGAUGUGAUGCCAAUGUAAUUUGUAACAUAGUAAAUUGGGAGGAUCUUCGAUCACCUGAUGCCGCGCUAGUUACAUAUAAAAGCAUUAUUU
rnacentral:rRNA from 1 species